ensembl:lncRNA
UUCUUCUCCUCCUCUGUUCAGUAUUCUUCUUCUCCUCCUCUGUUCAGUAUUCUUCUUCUUCUCCUCCUCCUCCUCCUGUUCAGUAUUCUUCUUCUUCUCCUCCUCCUCCUGUUCAGUAUUCUUCUUCUUCUCCUCCUCCUCCGUUCAGUAUUCUUCUUCUCCUCCUCUGUUCAGUAUCCUUACUCUCCUCCUCCUCUGUUCAGUAUUCUUCUUCUUCUCCUCCUCUGUUCAGUAUUCUUCUUCUUCUCCUCCUCUUAUUCUUCUUCUCCUCCUCCUCCUGUUCAGUAUUCUUCUUCUCCUCCUCCUGUUCAGUAUUCUUCUUCUCCUCCUCUUAUUCUUCUUCUUCUCCUCCUCCUCCUGUUCAGUAUUCUUCUUCUUCUCCUCCUCCUCCGUUCAGUAUUCUUCUUCUCCUCCUCUGUUCAGUAUCCUUACUCUCCUCCUCCUCUGUUCAGUAUUCUUCUUCUUCUCCUCCUCUGUUCAGUAUUCUUCUUCUUCUCCUCCUCUGUUCAGUAUUCUUCUUCUUCUCCUCCUCCUCUGUUCAGUAUUCUUCUUCUUCUCCUCCUCCUCUGUUCAGUAUUCUUAUUCUCCUCCUCCUCCUUUGUUCAGUAUUCUUCUUCUCCUCCUCCUCUGUUCAGUAUUCUUCUCC